rnacentral:rRNA from 1 species
UGGGGAAUCUUGCGCAAUGGGCGAAAGCCUGACGCAGCGACGCCGCGUGGGUGAUGAAGGCCUUCGGGUUGUAAAGCCCUGUGGGGAGAGACGAAUAAGUACUGGCUAACAUCCAGUGCGAUGACGGUAUCUCCUUAGCAAGCACCGGCUAACUCUGUGCCAGCAGCCGCGGUAAGACAGAGGGUGCAAACGUUGUUCGGAAUUACUGGGCGUAAAGCGCGUGUAGGCGGCGACGUAAGUCGGAUGUGAAAGCCCUCGGCUCAACCGAGGAAGUGCAUUCGAAACUGCGCAGCUCGAGUCCCGGAGAGGAUGGUGGAAUUCUCGGUGUAGAGGUGAAAUUCGUAGAUAUCGAGAGGAACACCGGUGGCGAAGGCGGCCAUCUGGACGGUGACUGACGCUGAGACGCGAAAGCGUGGGGAGCAAACAGGAUUAGAUACCCCUGUAGUCC